CGGGGUAAGCUUGGUGCUACCUCUUUUCUUUUGUUUGUUAUUUUCUUUGAAUAAGAGAAUUGAGAGUUUCUGAAUAUUGUGAAGUGAAUUAUGGAAUGGAAAUGUGAUUGGUAUUAUUUGAGAAGAAGAAAGAUUGAAUGCUGAAAUCUGAUUGUAGUUCAGCAGAGAGAAUGAGUCUGUGUUUGUGUGAAACACUGUAAUGUGAAUGGCAGUUCUGUGUGAAGAAUUCCAAUGAUUAGAACGAGGAUAAUUGUGUAUUGAAAAUUGUGAAAGCGCUAUAUUACAGUUGGAGAUUAUGAGGGUGAAUAUAUUGGUGGAAAUAACAGUUAUUGGUAUGACUGAAUUGCUGUAAGGAAGAGACCAUUAAGGUGAAGGAAGAGAUUAUAGUUUCCUUGUGUGUUCAGAUAUUGAAAAUAGAGAUGAUACAUUCAGGAGGUAAUUGAUUGUGUGACCCUAAUGUGAACGCUUAAGCAACUAGUCAUUCCUCGUAUUUGAAUCCCCCUAUACGGGUUUAUGCUGGGAGGUUUCUUCUGGAAUGAGUAAAAUGAGCAAUCACACUCGUAGAGAAAGCAAAUGUUGUUAUGACUACUCAUGAGCU
rnacentral:lncRNA from 1 species